GACGAACGCUGGCGGCGUGCCUAAUACAUGCAAGUAGAACGCUGAAGGAGGAGCUUGCUCUUCUGGAUGAGUUGCGAACGGGUGAGUAACGCGUAGGUAACCUGCCUGGUAGCGGGGGAUAACUAUUGGAAACGAUAGCUAAUACCGCAUAAGAGUAGAUGUUGCAUGACAUUUACUUAAAAGGUGCAAUUGCAUCACUACCAGAUGGACCUGCGUUGUAUUAGCUAGUUGGUGGGGUAACGGCUUACCAAGGCGACGAUACAUAGCCGACCUGAGAGGGUGAUCGGCCACACUGGGACUGUGACACGGCCCAGACUCCUACGGGAGGCAGCAGUAGGGAAUCUUCGGCGAUGGACGGAAGUCUGACCGAGCAACGCCGCGUGAGUGAAGAAGGUUUUCGGAUCGUAAAGCUCUGUUGUAAGAGAAGAACGAGUGUGAGAGUGGAAAGUUCACACUGUGACGGUAUCUUACCAGAAAGGGACGGCUAACUACGUG
rnacentral:rRNA from 1 species